GACGAACGCUGGCGGCGUGCUUAACACAUGCAAGUCGAACGAUGAAGCCGGAGCUUGCUCUGGUGAAUUAGUGGCGAACGGGUGAGUAACACGUGAGUAACCUGCCCUUGACUCUGGGAUAACUGCGGGAAACUGUAGCUAAUACCGGAUACGACCCUCGGAGGCAUCUCCUGGGGGUGGAAAGAAUUUCGGUCAAGGAUGGACUCGCGGCCUAUCAGCUAGUUGGUGAGGUAAAGGCGCACCAAGGCGACGACGGGUAGCCGGCCUGAGGGGCUGAGCGGCCACAUUGGGAAUGAAACGCAGCCCAGACUCCUACGGGAGGCAGCAGUGGGGAAUAUUGCACAAUGGUCGAAAGCGUGAUGCAGCAACGCGGCGUGGGGGAUGACGGCCUUCGGGUUGUAAACCUCUUUUAGUAGGGAAGGAGCGAAAGUGACGGUACCUGCAGAAAAAGCACCGGCUAACUACGUGCCAGCCGCCGCAGUAA
rnacentral:rRNA from 1 species